rnacentral:rRNA from 1 species
GCGGCGUGCCUAACACAUGCAAGUCGAGCGAUUUACUUCGGUAAAGAGCGGCGGACGGGUGAGUAACGCGUGGGUAACCUGCCCUGUACACACGGAUAACAUACCGAAAGGUAUGCUAAUACGAGAUAACAUGAGAAAGUCGCAUGGCUUUCUUAUCAAAGUUUUUGCGGUACAGGAUGGACCCGCGUCUGAUUAGCUAGUUGGUAAGGUAACGGCUUACCAAGGCGACGAUCAGUAGCCGACCUGAGAGGGUGAUCGGCCACAUUGGAACUGAGACACGGUCCAAACUCCUACGGGAGGCAGCAGUGGGGAAUAUUGCACAAUGGGCGAAAGCCUGAUGCAGCAACGCCGCGUGAGCGAUGAAGGCCUUCGGGUCGUAAAGCUCUGUCCUCAAGGAAGAUAAUGACGGUACUUGAGGAGGAAGCCCCGGCUAACUACGUGCCAGCAGCCGCGGUAAUACGUAGGGGGCUAGCGUUAUCCGGAAUUACUGGGCGUAAAGGGUGCGUAGGCGGUCUUUCAAGUCAGGAGUGAAAGGCUACGGCUCAACCGUAGUAAGCUCUUGAAACUGUAAGACUUGAGUGCAGGAGAGGAGAGUAGAAUUCCUAGUGUAGCGGUGAAAUGCGUAGAUAUUAGGAGGAAUACCAGUUGCGAAGGCGGCUCUCUGGACUGUAACUGACGCUGAGGCACGAAAGCGUGGGGAGCAAACAGGAUUAGAUACCCUGGUAGUCCACGCCGUAAACGAUGAGUACUAGCUGUCGGAGGUUACCCCCUUCGGUGGCGCAGCUAACGCAUUAAGUACUCCGCCUGGGAAGUACGCUCGCAAGAGUGAAACUCAAAGGAAUUGACGGGGACCCGCACAAGUAGCGGAGCAUGUGGUUUAAUUCGAAGCAACGCGAAGAACCUUACCUAAGCUUGACAUCCUUUUGACCGAUGCCUAAUCGCAUCUUUUCCUUCGGGGACAGAAGUGACAGGUGGUGCAUGGUUGUCGUCAGCUCGUGUCGUGAGAUGUUGGGUUAAGUCCCGCAACGAGCGCAACCCUUGCCUUUAGUUGCCAGCAUUAAGUUGGGCACUCUAGAGGGACUGCCAGGGAUAACCUGGAGGAAGGUGGGGAUGACGUCAAAUCAUCAUGCCCCUUAUGCUUAGGGCUACACACGUGCUACAAUGGGUGGUACAGAGGGCAGCCAAACCGUGAGGUGGAGCUAAUCCCUUAAAGCCAUUCUCAGUUCGGAUUGUAGGCUGAAACUCGCCUACAUGAAGCUGGAGUUACUAGUAAUCGCAGAUCAGAAUGCUGCGGUGAAUGCGUUCCCGGGUCUUGUACACACCGCCCGUCACACCACGGAAGUUGGGGGCGCCCGAAGCCGGAUAGCUAACCUUUUGGAAGCGUCCGUCGAAGGUGAAAUCAAUAACUGGG